ACUGUAAGGGACACGGAGGCAAUUCAGUGCCACGGGUGGAAGGUACCGGGCUGGUGGAUGUAAGCCAGAUGUUCGGAGCGCUCCAGAUGUGUCACAGGGCGGGGGCAGGACUCUCCUCCCUAUCCCCAGCCCCCAACCUGGAGCUGAGCUCCUCUGCCACCAGAGACACCCCAGUCAGAGCCAUUCCAGGUGGCCUCUGUCUGCUUGGAGAAGCCAGUCGACAGCACCUAAACAUUUUCGUGAAUACUACUUCUGCCUGAUAUCAUCGGCGUCCAGUUGAAUGGAAGUGGAGAGCAAUUAGGAAUCACAAUAUGGACCUUGGAUUCCACUCUGACACUGCAGCUGACACCUGUAACCCUGGCACCUGGGGAGUCAGUCACCGGGAAGUAGAGGCUAGAGUGGGCUAUAGGGAGGAUUCCCGAUCUCAAGCCUGGAUGAACCUGGCAGAAACCCUCACUGACCUCCCCAGAAGGACACAGAGGCGUACUUUGACAAAGACCUGUCCAGGUUCAAAGGAUCAUGAGUCUGAGCAGAGUUCAGCUUAGCAUGCCCAGAGGCCAAACCUUCUAGACAAACUAAGUAGCCACAGUGUCACCAAAGCCUUCUGGGCCUGGGGCUCACACUGAUGUCUUCUGCUUACCCACUGUGGGACUCUAAAGAAGUAGUUCAACCACCACGACCUUUGCUUUUCAUCAUUUGCACAACAGGAAAACCAGCAAUCAGCUCCUUCUUACAGCUACUGAAAGACAAUCAAAUGGGAAGUGCGUGUGUGUUGCUAUAUAUGUGUGUGACCCACUGCGCACACACCCCAGACCUCUCCGGUGCCCCUGUCUCAGAGGCAGUCAUCGCUCUGCAAGUGAACCCACCGAGCCACAAGCCUGCAGGGAGGUUGUGCAAGAGACCUGCAAACCUGGUUCUGCCCACUGCCUGGGAGGGGCCUGUCCUCCUCCUCUUCAGGGCCACAGGGGAGGUGUUAUUAUUCUAUAGCACCCCAGGAUAGGGUGGGGAGAGGUUGCUUUCCUGGGUGCACAUAACAAAACACUGCCCGUCAUGUCUGCUGAGGCGUCACUUCUGAAAGGCCACUUUCAGCUCUCAUUGUUGGAUGGCCACGGUGGCUGCACAGGAGACAAUGUUUGUGUUUCUCAGGCCUCUGUCAGCUCCCGGAGACAAACUGGACCACAACUGGUGCACCUACAAGGAACUCCAGGCAGGAGACUUGAGCAGCAGAGACCUGGAGGGAGAGCUGUACCAUCUAUCCAUCAUUCUCUGAAGCCUCCCAGCCUUGGUCUCGCUCUUGUUCCUCCUUUGAGAACUGGCUGUGACAGCCCCAGGUAGAAACUCCAGCCAGAGACCUUUCCCCUCUGGUCUAUGUGUCAGUCCUGGAGAAGGGGCUGGCUGACUGCUUGGGUCAUGUGUUUGUCUGAGUGACAGUUGCUGAGAAGAUGCCAGGAAGGACCAGGAGCUCCUGUCACCAGGAGAGGACCAGGAAGCAGGGAGCCGCCAGGCACAUGUGUGGGUACAGUUUCUUCUGCCAUUGUGCCUCUACUUCCAUACUUUGAGUGAGAGCCAGUAUCUCUGUUGGGCCUAGCCUAAAGAUACUGAGUGGAGGCUCGAAGGUAGAGGGCUAAGGACUGAAGCCUAUGGAAUCAUGAGCAGAAAUAAAUCUCCCU